UACGUAGGGUGCAAGCGUUAAUCGGAAUUACUGGGCGUAAAGGGUGCGCAGGCGGUGACACAAGCCAGAUGUGAAAUCCCCGAGCUUAACUUGGGAACGGCGUUCGGAACUGUGUCGCUAGAGUAUGUCAGAGGGGGGUAGAAUUCCUGGUGUAGCAGUGAAAUGCGUAGAUAUCAGGAGGAAUACCGAUGGCGAAGGCAGCCCCCUGGGAUAAUACUGACGCUCAUGCACGAAAGCGUGGGGAGCAAACAGG
rnacentral:rRNA from 2 species